rnacentral:tRNA from 1 species
GCCUGAGUGGCUCAGUCAGUAGAGCAUCUGACUCUUGAUCUGAGGGUCAUGAGUUCAAGCCCCACACUGGGUA